rnacentral:lncRNA from 1 species
AAAUGCAACGUGAUGAACCGGCGGCUGGAGGAGGAGGAAGAGGAGGUGACAAGGAGAUCCAGGAGCUCAAGCAGAAGAUUCGCAUCCGGCGCCAGCAAAUCCGCACCAAACACGUGCUCCCUGCCUACCGGGAGGUGGGCUCCGAGAGCUUUGUGGCUACAGACAGUGAGUCCCAGUUCAGCUCCCGUGACUCCAUGUGGCUGUCUGACUCGGGCUCAGCGGAGGACGUGGAGGAGUAUGAGAUAAGAGGGCGCCAGCAGGCCCUGCUCUCUUGCCUCUGUGUUGAGACCCUUUCUCUGUUGCCGGGCCGAGCACUGAAGCGAAAUAUUUUGUCAUCACCGGAUUAUGCAGAUGGUACGAUGGAUCUAACCUGAUUCAAAUGGCCAAGAACGGCCUGUCAGUGUCAAUGGCUUCCUUGUUUUCAGGUAGUACCCCAGAGUGCACUGCGCCACGUGUGUGUGUGGUGUGUGUGUGUGUGAGCGCGCGCUUC